rnacentral:rRNA from 1 species
AACUAACGCUGGCGGCAUGCCUUACACAUGCAAGUCGAACGGUAACAGGUCUUCGGAUGCUGACGAGUGGCGAACGGGUGAGUAAUACAUCGGAACGUGCCUAGUAGUGGGGGAUAACUACUCGAAAGAGUGGCUAAUACCGCAUGAGAUCUACGGAUGAAAGCAGGGGAUCGCAAGACCUUGUGCUACUAGAGCGGCCGAUGGCAGAUUAGGUAGUUGGUGGGAUAAAAGCUUACCAAGCCGACGAUCUGUAGCUGGUCUGAGAGGACGAUCAGCCACACUUGGACUGAGACACGGCCCAGACUCCUACGGGAGGCAGCAGUGGGGAAUUUUGGACAAUGGGCGCAAGCCUGAUCCAGCAAUGCCGCGUGCAGGAUGAAGGCCUUCGGGUUGUAAACUGCUUUUGUACGGAACGAAAAGCCCUGGGUUAAUACCCUGGGGUCAUGACGGUACCGUAAGAAUAAGCACCGGCUAACUACGUGCCAGCCGCCGCCGUAACAC